rnacentral:rRNA from 1 species
UACGUAGGGUGCAAGCGUUGUCCGGAAUUAUUGGGCGUAAAGAGCUCGUAGGCGGUCUGUCGCGUCGGAUGUGAAAAUCCAGGGCUUAACCCUGGGCCUGCAUUCGAUACGGGCAGACUAGAGUGCGGUAGGGGAGACUGGAAUUCCUGGUGUAGCGGUGAAAUGCGCAGAUAUCAGGAGGAACACCGGUGGCGAAGGCGGGUCUCUGGGCCGUAACUGACGCUGAGGAGCGAAAGCAUGGGGAGCGAACAGG